AGUGAACGCUGGCGGUAGGCCUAACACAUGCAAGUCGAACGGCAGCACAGUAAGAGCUUGCUCUUACGGGUGGCGAGUGGCGGACGGGUGAGGAAUACAUCGGAAUCUACUUUUUCGUGGGGGAUAACGUAGGGAAACUUACGCUAAUACCGCAUACGACCUACGGGUGAAAGCAGGGGAUCUUCGGACCUUGCGCGAUUGAAUGAGCCGAUGUCGGAUUAGCUAGUUGGCGGGGUAAAGGCCCACCAAGGCGACGAUCCGUAGCUGGUCUGGGAGGAUGAUCAGCCACACUGGAACUGAGACACGGUCCAGACUCCUACGGGAGGCAGCAGUGGGGAAUAUUGGACAAUGGGCGCAAGCCUGAUCCAGCCAUACCGCGUGGGUGAAGAAGGCCUUCGGGUUGUAAAGCCCUUUUGUUGGGAAAGAAAAGCAGCAGGUUAAUACCCCGCUGUUCUGACGGUACCCAAAGAAUAAGCACCGGCUAACCUCGUG
rnacentral:rRNA from 1 species